UGGGGAAUUUUGGACAAUGGGCGCAAGCCUGAUCCAGCUAUUCCGCGUGUGGGAUGAAGGCCCUCGGGUUGUAAACCACUUUUGUAGAGAACGAAAAGACACCAUCGAAUAAAUGGUGUUGCUGACGGUACUCUAAGAAUAAGCACCGGCUAACUACGUGCCAGCAGCCGCGGUAAUACGUAGGGUGCGAGCGUUAAUCGGAAUUACUGGGCGUAAAGGGUGCGCAGGCGGUUGAGUAAGACAGAUGUGAAAUCCCCGAGCUUAACUCGGGAAUGGCAUAUGUGACUGCUCGACUAGAGUGUGUCAGAGGGAGGUGGAAUUCCACGUGUAGCAGUGAAAUGCGUAGAUAUGUGGAAGAACACCGAUGGCGAAGGCAGCCUCCUGGGACAUAACUGACGCU
rnacentral:rRNA from 1 species